CGGGGUGAGUAACGCGUGGGUAACCUGCCUUAUACAGGGGGAUAACAGUUGGAAACGACUGCUAAUACCGCAUAAGCGCACAGUACCGCAUGGUACAGUGUGAAAAACUCCGGUGGUAUAAGAUGGACCCGCGUCUGAUUAGCUAGUUGGUGAGGUAACGGCUUACCAAGGCAACGAUCAGUAGCCGACUUGAGAGAGUGAUCGGCCACAUUGGGACUGAGACACGGCCCAA
rnacentral:rRNA from 1 species